rnacentral:rRNA from 1 species
AGAGUUUGAUCCUGGCUCAGAACGAACGCUGGCGGCAGGCUUAACACAUGCAAGUCGAACGCCCGCAAGGGGAGUGGCAGACGGGUGAGUAACGCGUGGGAAUCUACCGUGCCCUACGGAAUAACGCAUGGAAACGUGUGCUAAUACCGUAUACACCCUAAGGGGAAAAGAUUUAUCGGGGUAUGAUGAGCCCGCGUUGGAUUAGCUGGUUGGUGGGGUAAUGGCCUACCAAGGCGACGAUCCAUAGCUGGUCUGAGAGGAUGAUCAGCCACAUUGGGACUGAGACACGGCCCAAACUCCUACGGGAGGCAGCAGUGGGGAAUAUUGGACAAUGGGCGCAAGCCUGAUCCAGCCAUGCCGCGUGAGUGAUGAAGGUCUUAGGAUUGUAAAGCUCUUUCACCGGAGAAGAUAAUGACGGUAUCCGGAGAAGAAGCCCCGGCUAACUUCGUG